rnacentral:lncRNA from 1 species
AGAAACUUGGAUAAAUGCCUCAAAGUUUGAAUAAAAGAGGAACAGAAUUAAGAUCAAAUGACGGUUUGAGAGACACUCAAGUGUGUGUUAGAGUAGUAGCUCAAAAUGGUGCUCCAUGCCAAGCAAUGUGAGAACUUUCACCUGACUCGUGACAGUACUCCAUCCAUGGUGACAGGUUAAUCUAAACUAAACUUUUAAAAAAUGAAGAUCUGUAUCUUUUCAUCUCAUAGGGUCACCUGGACCUAAAGGUAUUAUGAAAAUUAUUUCUUUCCUGGUAAACUGUAGUAAAGAGUUUCAAUUAUUAAGACUCUGAUUUGUCUUGUAUUACAGGCAAUAAUUUAUUUACUAAUGUACAGAGUUCAUUGACCUCCCCACCUUCCAGGGACACCGGGAUCUGGGGCCUACGUGAAACAAUGUGUCUGGGCUCAGAGCAGGAGAUGGCCAGCUUGACUCUGACCCCAAGGCACAAAUUAAUAAGAAAAUGUCUUGCAUCAUGUUCCUGAUCUGGGCUGGCCACCCCAACGGGCACCUGGCUGGACUAUAGAAACAUCCCAUCCGUGGGAACAAAAAGAUAAAAACAUCCCAUCCAUGGGAACAAGAAGAAAUAACUCAAAGUAUCCAAAUGUCUGAAACUCUGAGUCAGAACCCAGAAAAUACUAGAAUAAAAGGGAGUUACAAGCAGAGAACAAUUAGAAGUCUGACUGAGGAGAGGACGUUUUGCCUCAGACCGAGACAAUCGGCACUCCUGCCCACCAUACAAAAUAUUGGGACUUCCCCAGCUGAUUGUGGUGUGGAUGUUUUGGAGACAUUACCUGUUUUUGUUGGCUUGAGAUAUCCAGCUGAAAAUCAAGUCAUCCUCCUCCCAGAUGCCUGUGGUACAUGGCACAAUGGCAGUCACACCAUGGCACAGAAGGAGCCACCGCCAACACCUACCACAAGCCACGGGUAUCCCAAGGACGUUUGGAAUGUGUUUAAGAAUCACUUGCCUAAAGAACAAGUGGGGAAAUGGGCAAAAGAUUACUUGAAAGAAUUACUUCUCUUCCCUUUUAUCUUCACCUUCAAUGAACAGGCCUCUGCUUUAAAAGCCUGA